rnacentral:rRNA from 1 species
GACGAACCGUGCGAACGUUAUUCGGAAUCACUGGGCUUAAAGCGCGUGUAGGCGGAUGGGAACGUCGGCCACUGAAAGCCCCCGGCUCAACCGGGGAAGUGGUGCCGAAACGACCCGUCUGGAGGGACGUAGGGGGACCUGGAACUUCCGGUGGAGCGGUGAAAUGCGUUGAGAUCGGAAGGAACGCCCGUGGCGAAAGCGAGGUCCUGGACGUCAUCUGACGCUGAGACGCGAAAGCUAGGGGAGCGAACGGG